rnacentral:lncRNA from 1 species
CUCAGUUGAACUUGAUCCAGUCCAAAGAAGAAGAAACCAAGGCACAGAUAGAGUUUGAGUGACUUGCCAGCAUUUCACAGUUUGGCUUCAAGAUCAGAUUUUCCUAAUGUAGGAAUCUUUCUACUUUACCACGCCCUGCACUACCAGUCCCUGAAGUAGCAUUUUUUUCUCCUAACAGAGUUAGGAAGAAUUUGCCUGUAGAAGAGAUCUCCUUAAACUCAGCAGCAUUACCCAGACCCUCCAGUCUCAGAGCUCUGGCCUCAGCCUACUUGCAGCUAUGGCUAAAUCUCCCCUUGCAGUGCAAAGGCUCUUUUUGCACUUAAUGGCAGGAUAGAGGCUCGGCCUCCCCAGCUCUAAUGUUUCCAUUUCUUGGGGACUUUACAGCUGCCUCAAGGUGGUCCCCCCUCCCCCUGCCCAGUCUCUCUGCUUCAGGAUCCAUUCGUCCUGGUGUGUGAAUCCCUGAAGUAGCAUUUGAAUCCUCUUGAUUCAGCCGGAGCAUCUUGGAAAAGUUGUCUCUCUCUCUUUCUCUCUCUCAUACAUAUAAAAAGCCAGCCUGAGAGCCAGAGAAGGAGAAGGGGCCACUGUUGUCAUGCACUCAGCAAUGAUCCCCACCUCAACACUGGCUCUACCAUCACCAUCUUCUCUUUCAGCCACCACCUCUGGGCAUUUUACAGAAUACUGCCCUCAGCAGUACAGCUCCUCUCUGAACUUUUGUUAAAGACUUUGGCUGUGGGGAUCCCCCAGACUUGAUGUACUAAAGGGAUGGCCCUCUCUGCACCAAACCAGAUUAUCAGAUUUCACUUACUCUGCUAAGAUCCAU